GACGAACGCUGGCGGCGUGCUUAACACAUGCAAGUCGAACGGAAAGGCCCUGCUUUUGUGGGGUGCUCGAGUGGCGAACGGGUGAGUAACACGUGAGUAACCUGCCCUUGACUUUGGGAUAACUUCAGGAAACUGGGGCUAAUACCGGAUAGGAGCUCCUGCUGCAUGGUGGGGGUUGGAAAGUUUCGGCGGUUGGGGAUGGACUCGCGGCUUAUCAGCUUGUUGGUGGGGUAGUGGCUUACCAAGGCUUUGACGGGUAGCCGGCCUGAGAGGGUGACCGGCCACAUUGGGACUGAGAUACGGCCCAGACUCCAACGGGAGGCAGCAGUGGGAAUAUUGCACAAUGGGCGGAAGCCUGAUGCAGCAACGCCGCGUGCGGGAUGACGGCCUUCGGGUUGUAAACCGCUUUCGCCUGUGACGAAGCGUGAGUGACGGUAAUGGGUAAAGAAGCACCGGCUAACUACGUGC
rnacentral:rRNA from 1 species